AAAGCCCUGCAAGUAGUUUUCUGUCUCCUCUUUUGCACUUUUGUAGGAUGUUGGUGGAUACACGAAACCUUCUUGAAGAGCUUUACACUGCUCGGGGGUGCUGGGGCUGGGACACCCCUAUAUUCAGCAGUCCCAGGUCCCUCUGUCGGCAGAUGGAGCUGCCAGGGAAGAGGAACUGAGGCAGAACGGUCGAUGGCAACAUUUGUCUGCAAACAGAUCCCUGCAGUUCCCAAGCCUGAGGGUCUCGGUGCCCCCUGCCCAGCUGCUUCCCCUUCCCGAGAGACGGGGGACGAGCAGGACGUGUCUGAACUCCUCCUGUGCAGGAGAGCUGAGCUGGGGGUUCUUUCCGCGUUGUUUGGUGCCUGGAGCUGUGCGGAUCUCCCGCCCGCCAUGGCUGUGCUCGGCCCUGCCCUUCUCCUCAGCACCAGUUCCUCACGGCCAGGGAGGACGGAGAUUUCAGACCUGUGUCACAAACAAGGCGUCCCAUAAUCCAAACCAUCUGGGUCUGCAUGGGUCCUUUUGAAUUGCGUGGAAACCACCGCUGGAGGAUACCAGUGGUACCAGAAGCUUUCUCAGUCAAAUAAAGCUCAUGUGAGGGAUUUGAACAGUCCUGCGCUCAGUCAUGGGAUGUACGAGGUGAUGGGAGGAGAGGUAUCCAGAAAACCUUGCAGUUUUCUGUGGCUCCAAUGUAACGACAGCCCUGGUACCACACAGCAUAUAGGAAACGUAAAGCUACUUCAAAGUCAUGAUCCCUGUUUUUUGCCAAAGUACAAGAGCAGAGGGGCUGAAAAUCUGUAGCUUAGAUUUCAACAAAAUCUGUUCUGAUGCGGGAGCAGUUCUGCUGUGUAACCUCAUCUGGGUGUUCCUGCUCCGGUGGGGGGAUUGGACUGCAUGAGCUUUCAAGGUCCCUUCCAACCCCUGGCAUUCUGUGAUUCUGUGAUAAUUCCUCAUGACCUUGCAAGACAGCUUGCAGCAUGUUUCCAUCCCAGAGCUGUGGCUGCUUUUGUCUUACCAAGCACCCAAAUCAAGAUUUGAACUCAUGUUGAUAAAGUAUUUUGGUUGAGGGCAUUUUAAUCUCCUUGCAGUGCUGAGUACUCCCAGCUGGCAGAAUAGCUGUGCCAGUUGGACUGUGGACUGUUUGUUGUCAAUUUUCAAGGAUUUUUCUUUUUACGGAUCGCAGGUACACAAAGACUUCGUGUGUGAGCUGAUGAACAAUCUCAAAGGAGGAGGUUUUAUUCCCUCUUUUUUUCUACCUUUCCUUUAGUCCAAGCCUUAUGGUUCCACUUCCACCCUAUUAUUCAAAGUGUAGCACUCAUUAGACCUUUUGGUGAGCUGAUUUAACUCCCCGUCUGGCAAGAAACUAUUAGCUUUGCGAGAUAAAAAGUGUGUUUUCUGCUUGGUGAGCAGCUGGAGGGGCCCAACAAGCAGCAGAGCCAGCACAUGAUGAGCCUCAGGAAUGCACGGCUGUGAGGAGCAGGAACGGUUCCUCCUCCGGUAGGAGCACAGAGCUGUCAGAUCAGUUCUCCCUGUCUCCUGUAACUUCACCCUGAACCUCCCACCGUGUUCCAAAUUCGAACGGUCAACAGGUUCAACAGUCUCCAGGACAGUGGUGCAGGGUGAGGGGAACAACAAGAUAAAAACAACCACCAAAUGGGCUGUGAGAGUUCUUAUUUCUCCUUGUCUGCCUAACUAGACCUCCUUUGGCCUAUUAUAUCUAUUUCCCUGUGCAAGUUUCGUGAAUAAUGUAUCUUAAGUAUGUUAAAUGUCAGAUAUUUUGGCAGAGGUCUGUCUUAAUGACAGUUUCGCUUUAAAUAUGAUGAAUGUCCACUGCAAAAAACUAAUUUUCCUUCUUUCUGCUGACUGAGACAGUUAUUGAUGACAGUUUCAGAAGAUGAAGCCUUCAGUCGCUAAAUGGUGAUAACCAUUAAAAAUGCAUGUAAAGAAAUAAAUUACCCUUAUUCCCAUUUCUUUUGCACACAUCAAAUGUGGUAUAGAAUGAGAGGUUGGGGUUAAA